AGGGCCACCUCGAACACAUUGGGAAGCGGUGAGCGUGGGCUUCGCCACAUGUUCUGCCGAGUCAUUGAUGUCAGUUUCUAGGUUUGUGAGUGCACUGUCUGGUGCUUCUUUUUACGAUGUCUGUCAACACAAGCACAGCGUGUUCCAAGUAUGAACUGAGAGAGUGUGCUCCCAUUGGGUUCUGGAUGUGGACACUGUGGCCGGUGAGGCAUAACUGGAAGUUUCUCUGAUGGUCGACAAAAAGGAUCACUGCACAACAGGCUUUGGAGCAGGCUCUGAUUCACGGAGAACUCCCCAGCAACCUCAUCUUUUGUGGAUAUUAGAUGGAUAUUGAAUCCAAUUUUUCAGAGAAGAAAGAAGUCUAGAGGCGUGGAUGUAUGUUUUUAGGGGGGAAUCAAGUCUGCAGAAUAUACACUAAUUUGAGGAAUUCAGAUGUUACCCAUGGUCAUACAGGGAAAGUGUGAAGCACUCUGGCCAAUUUUCCGCAUUUCUCAUCCAAGAAGCCGUUACAUUUAUGAUCUUUUCUAUAGAAGAAGGAAGGAUAUAUCUAAGGAGCUGUAUGAAUUUUGCCUGGACCAGGAUUAUGCAGACCGUAAUCUCAUUACAAAGUGGAAAAAUGUUGCCUCAGCUUUGUAUCAUUUGAGCUAGGGGCCAAGACGGAUGAGGUUGAUUUGGCUUGAUCAUGCCAAAGAAAUUUACUUCUUUUUUGGAAAAUGAAAGAAUGUUUUAGAAGUUCAGGGUUAAGUUACCAAAUCUGAGCUUUAUAGCAAAGCAGAGGAUCAAGAAAAGCAGAAUAGGAUAAUAAAGGUUCACAUAGAUGUAGUAAUAUGUCACUAUCAGCUAGCUCAAGUAUGUAUGACUGUAGGAGCUCAGGAAUACUCUUAUUGUGU